rnacentral:rRNA from 1 species
CUCCGGUUGAUCCUGCCGGACCCGACUGCUAUCAGAGUGGGACUAAGCCAUGCGAGUCAACGUAGCAAUACGUGGCAUACGGCUCAGUAACACGUAGUCAACAUGCCCAGGGGACGAGGAUAACCUCGGGAAACUGAGGAUAAACCUCGAUAGGCCAUGAUUUCUGGAAUGAUUCUUGGCUCAAACCUAUAUGGCCCCUGGAUUGGACUGCGGCCGAUCAGGCUGUUGGUGAGGUAAUGGCCCACCAAACCUAUUACCGGUACGGGCUCUGAGAGGAGGAGCCCGGAGAUGGGCACUGAGACAAGGGCCCAGGCCCUAUGGGGCGCAGCAGGCGCGAAACCUCUGCAAUAGGCGAAAGCUUGACAGGGUUACUCUGAGUGAUUUCCGCUAAGGGAAUCUUUUGGCACCUCUAAAAAUGGUGCAGAAUAAGGGGUGGGCAAGUCUGGUGUCAGCCGCCGCGGUAAUACCAGCACCCCGAGUGGUCGGGACGAUUAUUGGGCCUAAAGCAUCCGUAGCCGGUUCUGCAAGUCUUCCGUUAAAUCCAGCCGCUCAACGGAUGGGCCGCGGAGGAUACUACAGGACUAGGAGGCGGGAGAGGCAAGCGGUACUCAGUGGGUAGGGGUAAAAUCCUUUGAUCCAUUGAAGACCACCAGUGGCGAAGGCGGCUUGCCAGAACGCGCUCGACGGUGAGGGAUGAAAGCUGGGGGAGCAAACCGGAUUAGAUACCCGGGUAGUCCCAGCUGUAAACGAUGCAGACUCGGUGAUGGGCUAGCCUUGUGCCAGCCCAGUGCCGCAGGGAAGCCGUUAAGUCUGCCGCCUGGGGAGUACGGUCGCAAGACUGAAACUUAAAGGAAUUGGCGGGGGAGCA